GACGAACCGUGCGAACGUUGUUCGGAAUCACUGGGCUUAAAGGGCGCGUAGGUGGUCUGUCAAGUCGGGGGUGAAAUCUUUCGGCUCAACCGGAAAACUGCCUUCGAUACUGGCAGGCUAGAGGGAGGUAGGGGUUGCGGGAACUACCAGUGGAGCGGUGAAAUGCGUUGAUAUUGGUAGGAACGCCGGUGGCGAAAGCGCGCAACUGGAUCUCUUCUGACACUGAGUGCGCGAAAGCUAGGGGAGCAAACGGG
rnacentral:rRNA from 1 species